GGCGGGGUAGCGCAGUCUGGUAGCGCAAUCGGUUCAUGCCCGGUAGGUCGGCGGUUCAAAUCCGCCUCCCGCAACCA
rnacentral:tRNA from 1 species